rnacentral:rRNA from 1 species
UACGUAGGGUGCGAGCGUUGUCCGGAAUAACUGGGCUUAAAGAGCUCGUAGGCGGUCUGUCGCGUCUGCUGUGAAAACUCAGGCUUAACUCCGGGCCUGCAGUGGGUACGGGCAGACUAGAGUGCGGUAGGGGAGACUGGAAUUCCUGGUGUAGCGGUGAAAUGCGCAGAUAUCAGGAGGAACACCGGUGGCGAAGGCGGGGUCUCUGGGCCGUAACUGACGCUGGAGGAGCGAAAGCGUGGGGAGCGAACAGGA